CGCUGGCGGCGUGCCUAACACAUGCAAGUCGAGCGGAGACAGUGAGUAGCUUGCUACGAGCUGUUUUAGCGGCGGACGGGUGAGUAACGCGUGAGCAACCUUUCCCAGACAGGGGAAUAACACACCGAAAGGUGUACUAAUACCGCAUAAGACCACGGGAUCACAUGGUUCUGAGGUAAAAGAUUUAUCGGUUUGGGGUGGGCUCGCGUCCGAUUAGGUAGUUGGUGAGGUAACGGCCCACCAAGCCGACGAUCGGUAGCCGACCUGAGAGGGUGAUCGGCCACAUUGGGACUGAGACACGGCCCAAACUCCUACGGGAGGCAGCAGUGGGGAAUAUUGGGCAAUGGAGGAAACUCUGACCCAGCAACGCCGCGUGGAGGAAGAAGGUUUUCGGAUCGUAAACUCCUGUCCUUGGAGACGAGUAGAAGACGGUAUCCAAGGAGGAAGCCCCGGCUAACUACGUG
rnacentral:rRNA from 1 species